ACAUGAGUAUGCUCGCACAAAAACAUUGUCAGAUGUCAGAAGACGUGACCUAGUGAAGAUACUAGUUGCACAUCUGACAAAUGAGCAUGGCACAAGCCCCCCUAGGAGAUUGAAGGAGGAAUACGCCAAAGGAAUCAUCUGCCUUUUUCCUUACUUGGCUGACCCCCGGAGCAAGCUUGGCUAUGAACAUUUUUAUAAUGCUGAAGAUGGAAGUGGGUAUUUGGCUUGGAGAAUCAAAACUCUGCAGAAAGAGGUGUCCGAGGGGCGAAUGAAACGGCCACGACAACUUCA